rnacentral:rRNA from 1 species
UACGAAGGGGGCUAGCGUUGCUCGGAAUCACUGGGCGUAAAGGGCGCGUAGGCGGCGUUUUAAGUCGGGGGUGAAAGCCUGUGGCUCAACCACAGAAUUGCCUUCGAUACUGGGACGCUUGAGUGUGGUAGAGGUUGGUGGGACUGCGAGUGUAGAGGUGAAAUUCGUAGAUAUUCGCAAGAACACCGGUGGCGAAGGCGGCCAACUGGACCAUCACUGACGCUGAGGCGCGAAAGCGUGGGGAGCAAACAGG